rnacentral:tRNA from 1 species
GCGAGAUUAGUGUAGCUGAAGGCGCAUAUCUGGCUUCCAACCAGAAGGCUUGCGUGGGUUUGAUUCCCACAUCUCGCA